AUUGAACGCUGGCGGCAGGCCUAACACAUGCAAGUCGAACGGUAACAGGAAGAAGCUUGCUUCUUUGCUGACGAGUGGCGGACGGGUGAGUAAUGUCUGGGAAACUGCCUGAUGGAGGGGGAUAACUACUGGAAACGGUAGCUAAUACCGCAUAACGUCGCAAGACCAAAAAGGGGGACCUUCGGGCCUCUUGCCAUCGGAUGUGCCCAGAUGGGAUUAGCUAGUAGGUGGGGUAACGGCUCACCUAGGCGACGAUCCCUAGCUGGUCUGAGAGGAUGACCAGCCACACUGGAACUGAGACACGGUCCAGACUCCUACGGGAGGCAGCAGUGGGGAAUAUUGCGCAAUGGGCGCAAGCCUGAUGCAGCCAUGCCGCGUGUAUGAAGAAGGCCUUCGGGUUGUAAAGUACUUUCAGCGGGGAGGAAGGGAGUAAAGUUAAUACCUUUGCUCAUUGACGUUACCCGCAGAAGAAGCACCGGCUAACUCCGUG
rnacentral:rRNA from 1 species